rnacentral:lncRNA from 1 species
UAAGUAAAGAAAUAUCUGAAUCUUAUACAUUCUCCAAGGACUGGUAGUACGAAUCAUGAGCUUUUAAGAAUAGAGUUUACAAAGCGAAAAUGAAGUAAAUACAUUGUCUGUUUGAAAAAGACAUUAACAGAGUUUUAUAGAUCUAAGGCUACCAUGAACAAGAGACAGCUACAACCAGGACGCAGGUACAUCUUCAAAUCCAUCUCCCAUCGAACAUAGAAACAUCAGCAGUCAGUAUAUGCAUGCAAGGUACAGAAGUGUAGUAUAAGUACAACCGACCCCAUGUACAUAAUACGUAACAAACCUAACCUUAGGUUGAAAGUAGUGACGAGCUAACACAAAGGUCGGGUUCAACACCAAUAUUCCACAACAGUUCAUAACAACAUAGUACAAGUAACAAAAGAGUUAUCUCAGAAAUAAAAUGCCUAGUUCGUUCACAGUUCCAUAAAAAUAGGCAGUUCUUUUCAAGUAUCUCAGUGAAAACCCAAAUCUUUUAGUGAAAGCCAAAUACGAGUAAGUUUAAAAACAGUGAUUUUUUCCAAAUAUCCUUUCAACAAUAAUUAAGAUGUUUCAUUUUUCAGAUAGUAUGAAUAAAUUACGUCUCUAUGCCUACUUGUCAAGAUACAGGUAAAAUCAUAAAUGUCACAAAACUAGGUCGCAGAAGGAAAUGCAUCUCUAUGCAUGUAUCUCAAGUACGCAUAUCAAAUGCAAUACAUCUCGAAGAUGAGCUCGUAUAAUCACACUCUCAUAGUACUCAAUCUCACUGUCUCGCAUCCUCUCUCACUAUGUUCAAUGCUCAGCAUACUUAAUCACUCAGCGCUGUACAAUACCCGAUGCGGCGUGCAACCUAAUCCACAUAUUUAUAGUCGACUGCACUCACUGGGGUGUGCAGACUCCGGAGGGGCUCCUAGAGCUCAAGAGCUAUAAUUUGCACAGAUAACUCACGUGCCAUAAUAUCAAUAUCUAGAUCCGCACGGACAACUCACGUGCUGCAUGGACAACUCACAUGCUAUAGUAUCAAUAUCUGGAUCCGCACGAAAAACUCACGUGUUGUACGGACAACUCACGUGCUAUAGUAUCAAUAUCUGGAUCCGCACGGACAACUCACGUGCUGCAUGGACAACUCACAUGUUAUUGUAUCAACAUCCUCACAAACAGGCCCCUGGCCUCACUCAGUCAUCAAUCUCUCCAGUCUCACUCACGGGCUCACAAUGUCAUGAAACUAGCCCGACAACAAUGACAUGAUGUAUCAAUAAACAAUAAUUGAAGCUGAGAUAUGAUAUAAAUGCAUGAAUAUGACUGAGUAUGAUAUAUCAAUAAAAUCAGUGAGAUGACAGCAUGACACGACCACUAUGGUCCUAACAGUAUCAGCAUAAAUCCUAAACAUGAUAUUUAGCAUAAUUGAUAGCUCAGUUACUUUAACACAUGGUGAUAACACAAAUAUCAACAAAAUAGGCCCACUAUAUAAUGCCAUGAAAAUAGUGGAGACACAAUUCACAGGGUGCACACCCACACGCCCAUCACGUAGCAUGUGCGUCACCUCAAUACUAAUCACAUAACACAUAAUUCGGGGUUUUGUACCUUCAGCUCCAAGAUUAGAAGAGUUACUUACCUCGAACAAGCCAAU